AGGAUAAACGCUGGCGGCGUGCCUAAUACAUGCAAGUCGAGCGGCAGCGCGGUCUUCGGACUGGCGGCGAGCGGCGGACGGCUGAGUAACACGUAGGAACGUACCCCAAAGUGAGGGAUAAGCACCAGAAAUGGUGUCUAAUACCGCAUGUGCUCUAAGGAGUAAAGCUUCGGCGCUUUGGGAACGGCCUACGCAUGAUUAGCUUGUUGGUGAGGUAAUGGCUCACCAAGGCGACGAUCAUUAGCUGGUCUGAGAGGAUGAUCAGCCAGACUGGGACUGAGAACGGCCCAGACUCCUACGGGAGGCAGCAGUAGGGAAUUUUCCACAAUGGGCGAAAGCCUGAUGGAGCAACGCCGCGUGCAGGAUGAAGGCCUUAGGGUUGUAAACUGUCUUUUAUGUGUGACGAAUAUGACGGUAGCAUAUGAAUAAGGAUCGGCUAACUCCGUGCCAGCAGCCGCGGU
rnacentral:rRNA from 1 species